rnacentral:rRNA from 2 species
GUGACCUCAAAUCAGGUAGGACUACCCGCUGAACUUAAGCAUAUCAAUAAGCGGAGGAAAAGAAACUAACAAGGAUUCCCCUAGUAACUGCGAGUGAAGCGGGAAAAGCUCAAAUUUAAAAUCUGGCAGUCUCUGGCUGUCCGAGUUGUAAUCUAGAGAAGUGUUAUCCGCGUUGGACCGUGUACAAGUCUCCUGGAAUGGAGCAUCAUAGAGGGUGAGAAUCCCGUCUUUGACACGGACUGCCAGGGCUUUGUGAUGCGCUCUCAAAGAGUCGAGUUGUUUGGGAAUGCAGCUCAAAAUGGGUGGUAAAUUCCAUCUAAAGCUAAAUAUUGGCGAGAGACCGAUAGCGAACAAGUACCGUGAGGGAAAGAUGAAAAGAACUUUGGAAAGAGAGUUAAACAGUACGUGAAAUUGCUGAAAGGGAAACGCUUGAAGUCAGUCGCGUUGGCCAGGGAUCAACCUUGCUUUUGCUUGGUGUACUUUCUGGUUGACGGGUCAGCAUCAAUUUUGACCAUUGGAAAAAGAUCAAGGGAAUGUGGCAUCUUCGGAUGUGUUAUAACCCUUGGUUGCAUACAGUGGUUGGGAUUGAGGAACUCAGCAC